AUUAGUAGUUGUUUCUAGCUUUAUACAUGUUUUGUGCAAAUUCAUAUCCAACCAGGUCAAUGAACUUUAAAGCACGGCAAUGUAAAAACAGUAAGUUGGUGUGAUCAUAACGUCCUACUUCAUGAACUGUUCUUAUGGCUUGUUUUUGUGUGAUUAGUGGUUGCCACGAGCUUUUGUAGGUGUUCCCCCAGACCUCCAUACAUACACAGUCAGAGGAACAACU